GUACAGUCUAGAGUACAGGUACAAUGCUACUAAUCUCAGCCUAGAGUACUGGUACAGUCUAGAGUACAGGUACACCUAAUCUCAGUCUAGAGUACAGGUACACCACUACUAAUCUCAGUCUAGAGUACAGGUACACCACUACUAAUCUCAGUCUAGAGUACAGGUACACCACUACUAAUCUCAGUCUAGAGUACUGGUACAGUCUAGAGUACAGGUACACCUAAUCUCAGUCUAGAGUACAGGUACACCACUACUAAUCUCAGUCUAGAGUACAGGUACACCACUACUAAUCUCAGUCUAGAGUACAGGUACACCACUACUAAUCUCAGUCUAGAGUACUGGUACAGUCUAGAGUACAGGUACACCUAAUCUCAGUCUAGAGUACAGGUACACCACUACUAAUCUCAGUCUAGAGUACAGGUACACCACUACUAAUCUCAGUCUAGAGUACAGGUCCAACACUACUAAUCUCAGUCUAAAGUACAGGUACACCACUACUAAUCUCAGUCUAGAGUACAGGUACAGUCUAGAGUACAGGUACACCACUACUAAUCUCAGUCUAGAGUACAGGUCCAACACUACUAAUCUCAGUCUAGAGUACAGGUACAGUCUAGAGUACAGGUACACCACUACUAAUCUCAGUCUAGAGUACAGGUACAACACUACUAAUCU